rnacentral:rRNA from 1 species
GACGAACGCUGGCGGCGUGCUUAACACAUGCAAGUCGAACGGAAAGGCCCUGCUUUUUGGGGGUGCGCGAGUGGCGGACGGGUGAGUAACCCGUGAGUACCCUGUCCUUGACUGUGGGGUGACUUCAUGAAACUUGGGCUCAUACCGGAUAGGAGCUCCUGCUGCAUGGUGGGGGUUGGAUAGUUUCGGCGGUUGGGGAUGGACUGGCGGCUUAUCAGCUUGUUGGUUGGGUAGUGGCUUACCAUGGCUUUGCCGGGUAGCCGGCCUGGGAGGGUGACCGGCCCCAUUGGGACUGAGAUACGGCCCAGACUCCUACGGGAGGCAGCAGUGGGGAAUAUUGCACAAUGGGAGGAGGGCUGAUCUAGCACCGCCGCGUGGGGGAUGACGGCAUUCGGGUUGUAAACCGCUGCCGCCUGUGACGAAGCGUGAGUGACGGUACUGGGUAAAGAAGCACCGGCUAACUACGUG